rnacentral:rRNA from 1 species
AUUGAACGCUGGCGGCAUGCCUUACACAUGCAAGUCGAACGGUAACAGGUCUUCGGAUGCUGACGAGUGGCGAACGGGUGAGUAAUACAUCGGAACGUGCCUAGUAGUGGGGGAUAACUACUCGAAAGAGCGGCUAAUACCGCAUGAGAUCUACGGAUGAAAGCAGGGGAUCGCAAGGCCUUGUGCUACUAGAGCGGCCGAUGGCAGCUUAGGUAGUCGGUGGGGUAAAAGCUUACCAAGCCAACGAUCUGUAGCUGGUCUGAGAGGACGCUCAGCUACACUGGGACUGAGACACGGCCCAGACUCCUACGGGAGGCAGCAGUGGGAAAUUUUGGACAAUGGGAGAAAGCCUGAUCCAGCAAUGCCGCGUGCAGGAUGAAGGCCUUCGGGUUGUAAACUGCUUUUGUACGGAACGAAAAGCCCCGGGUUAAUACCCUGGGGUCAUGACGGUACCGUAAGAAUAAGCACCGGCUAACUACGUGCCAGCCGCCGCCGUAA